UUAAGAGUUUAUCUGAAUUAGUUCCCGAUUUAUACGAGUUACUAGAAGUUGAACAAUAUUUUCUGUAUAUUCUACGAUGAAUAAAAUGACGUGGAAAUCGCUUCUGUUCUCUUGUAUCCUUUUUUUGGGAGCAAUAAAUGCAGUCCUCUGUAGUAGCUUCAUUGAAUGUCCGGACGUUUCGAAAGCGAAUGUGUUGACACUGGACCUCGAAAAGCACAAAAGUGCGACUGUUGGAAGUACCACUCUUGAUUUCCGACUUCCUGAAAGUGGUUUGUUCCAUCAGCCAAUUAGUUGUAUUGUGCUUUCUAAUGGUGUAUACAGGACUUUCAUGAGUGUGUGCCCAAAUGCAACUGCAAUGAUCAAGAACUGACCUUAGUGGGGAAAAUACAAUAUUUCAGACAUUCUAUAUUUGAGAAGUCCUUGGAAGUACGACAAACAAACCCUAGCAUUUUCGUUGCCUUAAUUAUUAUAUGUUCAUAUUGCAGA